rnacentral:rRNA from 1 species
AACGAACGCUGGCGGCAGGCCUAACACAUGCAAGUCGAGCGCCGUAGCAAUACGGAGCGGCAGACGGGUGAGUAACACGUGGGAACGUGCCCAAAGGUACGGAACAACUCCGGGAAACUGGAGCUAAUACCGUAUGUGCCCGAGAGGGGAAAGAUUUAUCGCCUUUGGAUCGGCCCGCGUCUGAUUAGCUAGUUGGUGAGGUAACGGCUCACCAAGGCGACGAUCAGUAGCUGGUCUGAGAGGAUGGCCAGCCACACUGGGUCUGAGACACGGCCCAGACUCCUACGGGAGGCAGCAGUGGGGAAUAUUGGACAAUGGGCGCAAGCCUGAUCCAGCCAUGCCGCGUGAGUGAUGAAGGCCUUAGGGUUGUAAAGCUCUUUCGCCAGGGACGAUAAUGACGGUACCUGGAUAAGAAGCCCCGGCUAACUUCGUGCCAGCCGCCGCCGUAA